rnacentral:rRNA from 1 species
UACGAAAGGUGCAAGCGUUACUCGGAAUCACUGGGCGUAAAGCGCACGUAGGCGGACUCGCAGGUCAAUUGUGAAAUACCUGGGCUCAACCCGGGAGCUGCAGUUGAAACCGCUUGUCUUGAAUACCUGAGAGGGUGGGGGAAUACCUGGUGGAGAAGUGAAAUUCGUAGAGAUCAGGUGGAACACCGGAGGCGAAGGCGCCUGCCUGGCAGUGUAUUGACGCUGAGGUGCGAAAGUGCGGGGAGCAAACAGG